GAAAAACUUGUGCAGAGAAACUUCUCCAGGUUAGGCACACGUGUCUUGAGGCUAUGUGCAUAUGUAUACACAUAGACGUGUAUGUAUGAAUGAAUGUGUGUAUAGUUUUUCCCGGAAGGUCACUUCCAUUGAAACCAGUCACCACCACCUCAGACAGGGCAGGCUUAACCAUAAUUUUACAAUUAGUGUAUUUUGUACGGCAGUAGCUACAAGCCCUCCACAAGUAUCCGUAGGGAGUGCAGCACCGAGCCUAGCUAGACACUGUAUGCACAAUUUACAUGGCAACGAGCCCCCACCCGGCUUUGAACAAUGGCCAUUGUCACCCUGGGAAGGGCUGCAAGGCGCUAAAUUCGCUCGCCCAUGCUGCAGGGUGCGAGCUCCAGCCUUUCAUUCCAGGGGAGCGCUGAUAACACCUUGUCAGAACCGCCAGCUAAACACUUGAGACCACAGCUCCCGACAUAUGGGAGGAAAGCAGGAACAAGCAGCACAUUAAGGAAGGGAUCCCGCGUUGUGUCAGCCGCAGCACGUACACCCAGACUCCGUACAGUGGGCACAGAGUCACACUGUCCUGCCAUCAGUAUCUCUUGUACAUUUAAAGCACAAUUGCCAUCAUAUUCUGAUGAGCUUUAAAGCAGAUGCUGUUAGUGUAGGUGCUCACCACCAAAAGCACUUUUUUCAGAUAAAAAGCAUGUCAUGCGUGAGCUACCGUGAAGUUUCAGCCAUUUAAAUAUCUCUUGGUGUUUAAAAC
rnacentral:lncRNA from 1 species